GCCUACGGGGGGCAGCAGUAGGGAAUCUUCCCCAAUGGACGAAAGUCUGAUGGAGCAACGCCGCGUGAGUGAAGAAGGGUUUCGGCUCGUAAAGCUCUGUUGGUAGUGAAGAAAGAUAGAGGUAGUAACUGGCCUUUAUUUGACGGUAAUUACUUAGAAAGUCACGGCUAACUACGUGCCAGCAGCCGCGGUAAUACGUAGGUGGCAAGCGUUGUCCGGAUUUAUUGGGCGUAAAGCGAGUGCAGGCUGGUCAAUAA
rnacentral:rRNA from 1 species